rnacentral:rRNA from 1 species
UACAGAGGGGGCAAGCGUUGUUCGGAAUUACUGGGCGUAAAGGGCGCGUAGGCGGCCUGCUAAGUCGAACGUGAAAUCCCUGGGCUCAACCCAGGAACUGCGUCCGAUACUGGUUGGCUUGAAUCCGGGAGAGGGAUGUGGAAUUCCAGGUGUAGCGGUGAAAUGCGUAGAUAUCUGGAGGAACACCGGUGGCGAAGGCGACAUCCUGGACCGGCAUUGACGCUGAGGAGCGAAAGCUAGGGGAGCAAACAGG